rnacentral:lncRNA from 1 species
AAGAGCUAAAUGAAGCACAAAAUGUUCCAGGAGUGCCUGACUCACAGUAAAUGGCAGCCAGUCUUUGCUGAGGGCAGCAGCCAUGAGACUAUGGCCUGGAAAGUGAGGAAAAGAAACACUAAUGGCCUGGAAACAUAUGGCCCACAAAAGGAGCAGAAACAUCUUCCCUCCUACCACCCCACUGAGUCUCCAGAAAGAAUUCUUCUUUUCAUUGUGUUCAUCCUGCAUCACUGACACUCUCAUGAAAUCAUGAAUUUACAUCAGCCAAGUUCCUCGGUGAAAGAAAUUAACAUACUGGACUGUUUUGCAAGAUCUCUUUGGAUCAACUGCCCUGAGCAGUAAAUAUGAAGGGUAACUGUGGCCAUGGACAUGAACCAGCAUUGAUGUAAAGAAUGUGUUCAACGCUGACACCUAAGGAGUUUGAAUUGGAUCCUUUCCUGCUGCUCCAAGAUGCAUGGAAAAUACUGAUCCUGUUCCCCACUAAAGGCAUUGGGAACUCUGCUGUUGAUUUACUGCUCAGAACAGGCACUGCAGAUUUAGAGGAAUUCUUCAGGAGAGCAGAGAAAACUGGUGGCAGGCUCCAUAGCCUGAGAAGGAAAUCGGUUGGAAAAGUGGCAACUAUUUCUUAAAAUCAGAAAGUAAAAAGAUUGAAUGUAAUGAUGCUGGGCCAAAUGUUUCUAUUUCUGGGUGGCAAGAGUGGAAAGAAAUGAUGCAGACUUGAGGGAGGAGGGGGCAAAACAUAUUUUCCAAACUUUCUGCAAAAGGGGAGUUCCACAAAAAAAAAAAAAGAAAAGAAAAAAGAAUUGGAACAGAAACAUUGUCCAGGAAAACUUUAAAAGUCAUUGUGGAGGAUGUCUAAGCUUCAGGACAUCAGGGGCCAGAGUUCCCAGGACCUCUUGUUUCCUACCUGUGGCCAACCCAGCAAUGACUUGCCCUGGAGUGAGAAUGACAGCAGCAAUUCCCUUUCCCAUUACCACAUCAGGCAGCCCAGCAGGAAAACACUUCAGGACUCAUCUUACAUAUUCCUUAUCAGAAGACUGUCAAACAGACACAUUUCCUAAAGACACUGUCAUUCUGAAUUGCCCUUUUCUAAUCUGUUUCACUGGAAAAUUCCUGAAGUGCCCUAACUACUAUUCAAGGAUGCAAAAGAAACUGAAAGGAUGCUCACAGAAGUGGGUGGCUGAUGUUACAGCAUGGGUGGUGCAGUGGCCUUGGUUUCCCCUAAGGAUGACUUGUCCUUGGAUGGGCUGCCAGUUCGCUCUGUCACAAGCUGUGGCUUUUCACAGCUGCCGAAGAGGGGAGCUCUGCAAGCACUGCCUCUUAGGAUGCACCUGGUGGAGAGACAGAGAAUGCAGCAGCAGCAGAAGCUCAACAGCAUCCUAA